rnacentral:rRNA from 1 species
CAAGUCGAACGCGGUUUCCUCGCAAGGGGAAACUGAGUGGCGAACGGGUGAGUAACGCGUGGGUGACCUACCUUCGAGUGGGGGAUAACGUCCCGAAAGGGACGCUAAUACCGCAUGACAUCCUGUCCUUGAACGGAUGGAGAUCAAAGCUGGGGAUCGCAAGACCCGGCGCUUGAUGAGGGGCCCGCGUCCGAUUAGCUAGUUGGUGGGGUAAUGGCUCACCAAGGCGACGAUCGGUAUCCGGCCUGAGAGGGCGGACGGACACACUGGGACUGAGACACGGCCCAGACUCCUACGGGAGGCAGCAGUGGGGAAUUGUUCGCAAUGGGCGCAAGCCUGACGACGCAAUGCCGCGUGGAGGAUGAAGGUCUUCGGAUUGUAAACUCCUGUUGCCAGGGACGAAUAGCUUCGACCUAACACGUCGAAGUAUGACGGUACCUGGUGAGGAAGCCCCGGCUAACUCUGUGCCAGCAGCCGCGGUAAUACAGAGGGGGCAAGCGUUGUUCGGAAUUACUGGGCGUAAAGGGCGCGUAGGCGGCCUGCUAAGUCGAACGUGAAAUCCCCGGGCUCAACCCGGGAACUGCGUCCGAUACUGGUUGGCUUGAAUCCGGGAGAGGGAUGUGGAAUUCCAGGUGUAGCGGUGAAAUGCGUAGAUAUCUGGAGGAACACCGGUGGCGAAGGCGGCAUCCUGGACCGGUAUUGACGCUGAGGCGCGAAAGCCAGGGGAGCAAACGGGAUUAGAUACCCCGGUAGUCCUGGCCCUAAACGAUGAAUGCUUGGUGUGGCGGGUAUCGAUCCCUGCCGUGCCGAAGCUAACGCAUUAA